rnacentral:rRNA from 1 species
UAGGGAAUCUUCCGCAAUGGGCGAAAGCCUGACGGAGCAACGCCGCGUGAGUGAUGAAGGUCUUCGGAUCGUAAAACUCUGUUAUUAGGGAAGAACAAAUGUGUAAGUAACUAUGCACGUCUUGACGGUACCUAAUCAGAAAGCCACGGCUAACUACGUGCCAGCAGCCGCGGUAAUACGUAGGUGGCAAGCGUUAUCCGGAAUUAUUGGGCGUAAAGCGCGCGUAGGCGGUUUGUUAAGUCUGAUGUGAAAGCCCACGGCUCAACCGUGGAAGGUCAUUGGAAACUGGAAAACUUGAGUGCAGAAGAGGAAAGUGGAAUUCCAUGUGUAGCGGUGAAAUGCGCAGAGAUAUGGAGGAACACCAGUGGCUAAGGCGACUUUCUGGUCUGUAACUGACGCUGAUGUGCGAAAGCGGGGGGAUCAAACAGG